rnacentral:rRNA from 1 species
UGAUGACGAGACGCUAAGGCGUUGAAGCAGUGUAUGUCAGACUUCCAAGAAAAGCUCGCAAUGUCACAAAUAAUAAAUGCCUGUACCAUAACCGACACAGGUGGGUAGGUAGAGUAUACUAAGGGGCGCGAGAUAACUCUCUCUAAGGAACUCGGCAAAAUGACUCCGUAACUUCGGGAGAAGGAGUGCCUUAUUUAUAAGGUUGCAAUAACAAGAUCCAAGCAACUGUUUAUCAAAAACACAGGUCUCCGCUAAGUCGUAAGACGAUGUAUGGGGGCUGACGCCUGCCCAGUGCCAGAAGGUUAAAGAAGUUGGUUAGUGUAUGCGAAGCUGAUGACUGAAGCCCUGGUGAACGGCGGCCGUAACAAUAACGGUCCUAAGGUAGCGAAAUUCCUUGUCGGGUAAGUUCCGACCCGCACGAAAGGCGUAAUGAUUUGGAUACUGUCUCGGAGAGAGGCUCGGUGAAAUAGACUUGUCUGUGAAGAUGCGGACUACCUGCACCAGGACAGAAAGACCCUAUGAAGCUUUACUGUAACUUGAAAUUGGAAUUGGACUUUGCUUGCGCAGUAUAGGUGGGAAGCGUUGAAAAUAUUCUUGCGGGAGUAUUGGAGCUAUCAGUGAGAUACCACUCUUGUAAUGUUAGAUUUCUAACUUUGAACCAUAAUCUGGUCAAAGAACAGUUUCAGGGGGCAGUUUGACUGGGGCGGUCGCCUCCCAAAUGGUAACGGAGGCGUACAAAGGUUUCCUCUGAACGGAUAGAAAUCGUAUCUAGAGUGUAAAGGCAUAAGGAAGCUUGACUGUGAGACCUACAAGUCGAGCAGGGACGAAAGUCGGUCUUAGUGAUCUGACGGUACUGAGUGGAAAGGCCGUCACUCAACGGAUAAAAGUUACUCUAGGAUAACAGGCUGAUCUCCCCCAAGAGUUCACAUCGACGGGGAGGUUUGGCACCUCGAUGUCGGCUCAUCGCAUCCUGGGGCGGUAGUACGUCCCAAGGGUUGGGCUGUUCGCCCAUGAAAGCGGUACGCGAGCUGGGUUCAGAACGUCGUGAGACAUUUCGGUCCAUAUCCGGUGUAGGCGCUAGAAUAUUGAGAGGAGCCUUCUUUAGUACGAGAGGACCGAGAAGGACACACCGCUGGUGUACCAGUUAUCGUGCCAACGGUAAACGCUGGGUAGCUAUGUGUGGAGUGGAUAACCGCUGAAAGCAUCUAAGUGGGAAGCCCACCUCGAGAUGAGUAUUCUCAUCA